GAAGCAUGGAGGAAACGCUGUGUUUGCUGCAGACUUUUCUUCUUUGUUUACAAAUGUAGCCUUAGCAUCGUCUGCAGACUGCUGUUGGCUAGCUAGCCAGUGUUAACAUUAGGUAACUUUUUGUCGGUUUCUAGAAAAAGACCAAGACCCCAUGCUUCUUUCACAAGGACUUGUCAUUCCUUAAAGUUGGAUCAAACCCUUUCCUCAUCCCUGUUGUGAGUUCAACUAAAGGAGAAGCUGUCAGAAAUAUUCUUUCAGCUUUUGCACUGAUGGUCAGCCAUGGAUGAAGAUGACAGCCAAGAUGAGCUGAUCAACCGCAGUACAUCCCACAACAAAGGAAAAAGGGCAGCUUUAUGGGCCAUCUCAGAUGACUCGGAGGACAGUGAAGUGGAGUCUGAAGAGGGAGCAUCAGGCAGUGGCGAGGAAGAAGAGGAGGAUCAGCUAGAUGGAGAUGAUGAUGAAGAUGAUGAUGAUGAGGAGGAGGAGGAAGAAGAAGAAGGGAAUGAAGAGGAGGAUGAUGAUGAAGAGGAGGAAGAUGUGAAGGCGGAGGGUGGAGCUGUUGGAGGAACCUCUGCAGAUCUUGCAGGGAUAAGUUCAGAUGAGGACACAGACAAGUGUCCCAUCUGCCUUAACUCCUUCAGCAGCCAGCCUGUUGCUACACCAGAGAGCUGUGAGCACUACUUCUGUCUUGACUGCAUCCUUGAAUGGGCAAAGAAUGCAAACUCAUGCCCUGUAGACCGUAUUGCCUUCAGCAGCAUCUACCUGAGAAAAUGUUUUGGAGGCAAAGUGAAGAAAGUGAUCACAGUAAAAAAGCCUGUGAAGGAAAAUCAGGAGGAAACAAUAGAUGUAGAUCUGGAGCAGACCAACUGUGAGGUGUGCGGAGGCAGCGAUCGAGAGGACCGCCUCUUGCUUUGUGAUGGCUGUGAUGCAGGGUAUCACAUGGAGUGUCUCACUCCCCCUCUUGACUCUGUUCCCGUAGAGGAAUGGUUCUGCCCUGAAUGCGAAUCCAACAACCGUAACUCAAGGGGUUCAGCUGAACAAGUCAGUGAUACAGAGAGUCUACCAUCUUCUGCUGGUCCCACCACCAGUCGCUCCCAGACCCGUGCUGCCCAGAACCGUGGCGCUGGUCCAACCAGAGCUAUUGCACGGACGCAGCAGAGCGAGAGGGUUCGAGCUAAUGUCAACCGAAAUCGGAUCACACAGGCACGAACAUCGCAGCUGGCUCCCACAUAUCUGAUGCAGUCCACUUGGUUGGAUGAAACUAUUAAUGCUGUGGUGGCUGGGCUCAACACAGCUGUUUAUGUUCGUAAUUUCACACCUCGAGCCCCAACUCGCCGCAGACGCAAAACUGGAAAGCGCAGAAAGGUCAAAAAGACAUCAGCUUCUAAGGGUAAAAAAGGCAAAGUAGCAAGUACGGGAGUCAAGAGGAGGAAACGGAAAGUGAGACGGACUAAAUCCAGAAGAAAACUGAUUCCAAAAAAGCCAACCACAGCUCGAAGUCGUAUUGCUAAUAAUCUGGGGAUUGUAAAGGACAAAAAAAGCUCUUCACUGCCCACAGUGUAUCGUCCAUCAGAGCACACACUCAGCAACAUGCGUGCUGAUAUAGGUGCUGCAUCCCUCUCUAUCUACGGAGAUCCUUUUGACCUUGAUCCAUUUACGGAUCGUGAGGAGGAAGAACAGCAGGCCCAUGUUACAUCACUGUUGGAGGCCAAGAGACGAGGAAUCUCUCGCUCCGCACUUCGAUCUCAUCAGCCUGUAGCUCGGCCAUUCACUGCAAGCCUUUCUCGGAGAGCUGUGGAAGUUCCCCAAUCAGGUGUUGUGGAGGCCACUCCUGUGCCUGACCUGCUAGGCAGCAUCCUCACAGGACAGAGCAUGCUUCUGAUGGACAGCUCUGAUGUUGUUAUUAAUCGAGAUGGGUCCCUUAAAGCUGCAAAGCCAAUUAUGCCCUCUGCAAUAAAGCCAAGCUGCAGCAAAAGCAGCAGCUCCGGUGAUUCCAGCACCCACAUCAACCCAGUGAUGUCCCCCAGCCAAGGAGACACACCUUUGCCCCUCCACCACAACGGAGACCUACCAUCAUCCUCCCACAGCUCCAUGAGCAGACCCUUCUCACAGAGCUCUUCUCGCUUACCCCCUUACACGCCCCCCUCAGCUAGUCGCAUACCACCUUCUUCUCAUUCUGAUCUGCCACCCCGAGGCCAUCCCAGUGUGCUGCCACAUCAACCAGUCAGACCCACUCAUCCCUCUCGCCAUCGGGGAACAAAUCCUGCCCACUCCUCUUCCAGUAGCUCCACCUUAGACUCCAGCUCUAAGAACAACCAACCUAAGAAAGGACCUAUAAAGCCAAUGUGGGUCGAUGUCUCAGUUCUUCCAAGGAUACCAAAAAUAAAAAGGGAGAGCAUUGAUGGCACAAAUGAUGGUGGUUGUCAAGGUGCUGGCAGCAGCAGUAAUCAAAGCAGCAGAAGUAGUAGGGAACAUAUUAGUAACUCCAGUUCUACCAGUAGUGUUUAUGGCAUGCCAUCUACUGGCAUGAACAGCCUGGCUGGUGACAAGGGAAGGCAGCAAAGUGUAGACCAGCAAAAAGGCAGAGCUGAAGGUCCAUCCCAGAGGCAGAGGCCUGAUGGAGCAGCCUCGUCAUCUGCCUUUUCCAACUCAUUCUCUUCUUCCUCCUCUUCCACUGGCUUUCCUUCCAGCCAGUCACGUUAUUCCUCAUCUUCUGUAGCUUCAUCGUCUGUAAGUUUCCGCAUUAACUCCAGUGGAAACUCAUGGCAUUCAAGGCGGCUCAGUAUGCCAUCAUCCUCUACUGGUGGAGACAGCAUGCCAGAGCCCUGGAGUAAAAAGGAAGAAGAAGUCAAAAAGAGACAGCUUCACCGGGAUAAACAGAUGCUUCUUGCAUCACGCACCCAGGUCAAAAAAGAACAAGAUGUUAAUAAUAUCUAUGAUCCAUUUAAUCCCACUGUGUCAGACUCCAGCAGCUCGGAUGAUGAAGCUGAGAGCUCCCAAAAUGUCUCACAUGAGGUGAAAGCUCCUAGCUUAGAAAAGAAGGAGGGUUUAAUGCGAAACAAACUGGACCUGAUCCAUGUAAAAAGUGAAAGACAGGAGACUGAAGUCUCACUGGAAGAACCAAGGGGAGCUAGUUCACCAGAAACCCCAUCACCAGAGGUCAGAUGCUUAGAGGGAUUCAUAAAGACUGAAAAAGAAUCGCGAUCUGAAACUCAGCCUGAGACACAAACAGCAUUUCUUGACUCUAGAUGUAAGAAGGAGUCGGGGUUAGAUGAUGGAAAAGAGGCUGGCAUGUUUGGGCAUGGAGUAAAAAGUUUAAAUUCAAAGAAAGCAGGUAACACUUCACCUGUUCAUCACAGCCUUGUUCCUGUAAAGACAGAGAGAGAAACUCUUGAAAUGAAUGAAGGGAGUGUAGGAACUUCUAGCAGUGCUCCACCUAACUGUAAGAAUGAUUCAUCUGCAUCUAGCUCUGCUCCCACCAAAAAGAAAGAAAAGGCAGAGGUCAAAAUAGAUGUUGAAACCUCUUCAAAGUCCCCAUCUAGAAAUAUGGCCCAUAAAAAGAAAACUGCCCAUACAUCGAAGGAGCGACACUCUAGUAGUCCAGAGACAGAGAGAGACAGGAGAAGAGACCACCGAGGAGCCUGGCAGAAGGAAAAGGAGAGAGAAAUGAAGAAGAGCAGGGACAGGAGCUCUAGGCGAUCAAGGUCGAGGGAGAGGAAAAGGGGCCGCUCAACAUCUGAAAGCUCUCACUCCAUUUCCCCUGAAAAGAGUCGUAGAAAGAGACAACGGUCCCGGUCACGAUCAAAAGAUAGGAGACGAUCCAGGUCUGGUUCCAGCUCCAGCAGCAGAGAGCAUUCAAGACGAAAAAAGAAUAAACAGAGAAGCAAGGAGAGGAAUGACGGCAGAAGGAGAGACUCUGAGAAAAGACGUCUCUCAAAGGACAAGAGACAUGGUCGAUCUUGCUCAUCAUCUUUGUCAAAAUCCCGCUCCAGAUCUAGGUCAAAGGACCGUAAACGUGGUCGCUCUCGCUCAAAAUCACGAUCAAAAUCACGGACAAGAUCUAGAUCCAAGGAAAGAAGGAAAGACCACACAAGAUUUCAACCAUCCUCUCUCUCUGACAGAGAUAAGGGAGAGUCAAAGUCUAAAGACAAGAGGAGACGAAGGUCUAGGUCCAGCUCCAGAGAGAGAAGAAAAGACAAAAGCUCAUCAUCAUCCAAGAGUGCACAGAAAACUUCAGGGGCGUGUUCUUCGUCCUCUAAAGAUUUAAAACCAUCACAGGAAAAGAAGAAGGAGAAGGAUCUCACUGGAAGCUCCCUAAAAGAGGAGAAAACUGCUCCUGUGAAUAAAGAGGAGAAAACUGCUCCUGUGAAUAAAGAGGAGAAAACUGCUCCUGUGAGUAAAGAGGAGAAAACUGCUCCUGUGAGUAAAGAGGAGAAAACUGCUUCUGUGAGUAAAGAGGAGAAAACUGCUCCUGUGAAUAAAGAGUUGACUCCUUUGCUCACUGCUGCCUCUAAGGUGAAAAAUCAAAGCAAAGAGAUCAAGACUGACAGUCAGGUGACAACAGCAGAUACAGGCAAAGAGUUUAAGGUAAAAGAAAUUAAGAAAGAAAAACCACCAUCUCUAGAUAUGUUUGAAGACUCUCCUGUUAUUAAACCAAUUAAAGAAGAAGUCUUUGACACUGAUGCUUUGGAGGAAGUCAAAGAGAUUCAGGAGGAGGGAAACAAAGAUGACCCAGUGAAAAUGGAGAAAUGUGAAAUCCUGAUAAUUAAAUCCGAGCCAAGUUCCCCUGAAUUACACCCGUUACCUCCUGUCACUUCGUUUUCUUCUCUCACACCACCUGCUGCCACUGACGACCUCAAGGAUUCAGUCCCUCAACCUCCCCCAGAGGCCUCUGAUCCACCAAACGCUGUCGAGUCAGUGGUGGCUGUGAAGCAGGAAGUUCAGCAGCCCUCAGACUCAGAUGAUGACUUUAAUGUGGAUGUGAUGCUCGACAGCCUGGACUAUGUGAAGUCCGAGCCCACGGAGGGAAAUGCUACUUCUGUCAAACAGGAGAAGGACGUAGAGGAAGGGAAGAAUGAAGGAGAGCAGGUGUCGGCUGUCGUGGGAGCAAAAUCCAAGACUCACGUGAAGAGGGUCACCUGGAAUAUACAGGAACCUGAGGGGCCACAACCAGAGAAAUCUGCAAGCAAAGUGGCCCUUUAUAAAUUGAAGCUGAAGCAGGAAGGACUUCGCAGACCCUCCUCAGCAUCACUGUCAACCAAUCAGGACAUCACCGGAAAUGUAAGUGACCCCUCCAGAAAGGGUGCUAGUGGUGCACUCAGUAGCUCCUCUAAAUCAGAUGGUACACAGCCAGAAGGUUUACCAACAACUGGAGCUGGAGAGUCAGAGGAAGGGGACGUGUUGAGUAAAGACAAGCAGUACCUGAAGAAGCUGCACAUGCAAGAGAGAGCUGUAGAGGAGGUGAAACUCGCCAUCAAGCCUUUCUAUCAGAGGAGAGACAUCAACAAGGAGGAAUAUAAAGAGAUUCUUCGCAAAGCCGUCCAGAAGGUGUGCCACAGCAAGAGCGGGGAGAUAAACCCAGUGAAGGUGGGCAAUCUUGUCAAAGCGUAUGUGGACAAGUACAAACAUGCCAGAAAACACAAGAAAGCAGAGGAGGCUCAGACUGAAAAAACCUCUAACAGUCCCUGAGAAGGUGUUAACUACAGGCAAGGCCAGCCACACGUAUCAGAAACACUCACAUAUACUUCAGUAUGUUUUCUUCUCUUAUCCUGAAUACAAAAAUCAAACUAAACUGAGGUUUUCUCACACCUUUGGGAUGGAACACUCUUGAGAUUUGGUCUCUGAGGCAUUUAGAGGACACACUGUUUUUGUUGAACUGCACCUGUUGAUGUUUUGUGCCGGGACUGUCCCUGCUGAGAACUGGUAUUUUGUGUGAAGCAGCUCGGAAACAAAAGGAGACACUGAGGGGAUGCCUUGAAGAGGCAAAUCUCAGAGACCCUUCGAUGGAGCGGUAAAUCAGGCCGUUUGAAUCGACCAAUGGGCCUUCAA